GACGAACGCUGGCGGCGUGCUUAACACAUGCAAGUCGAACGAUGAAGCCUAGCUUGCUAGGUGGAUUAGUGGCGAACGGGUGAGUAAUACGUGAGUAACCUACCUUUAACUCUGGGAUAAGCCUGGGAAACUGGGUCUAAUACCGGAUACGACCAAUCUCCGCAUGGGGUGUUGGUGGAAAGCGUUAUGUAGUGGUUAUAGAUGGGCUCACGGCCUAUCAGCUUGUUGGUGAGGUAACGGCUCACCAAGGCGACGACGGGUAGCCGGCCUGAGAGGGUGACCGGCCACACUGGGACUGAGACACGGCCCAGACUCCUACGGGAGGCAGCAGUGGGGAAUAUUGCACAAUGGGCGCAAGCCUGAUGCAGCGACGCCGCGUGAGGGAUGACGGCCUUGGGUUGUAAACCUCUGUUAGCAGGGAAGAAGAGAAAUUGACG
rnacentral:rRNA from 1 species